GGUGCUAUAAGCUAUUUGUUUAGGACAGCUCCACGGAAUGGAGGAGAUGCGGGUUCGAAUCCCGCCAGCGCCU